UACGUAGGGGGCUAGCGUUGUCCGGAAUCAUUGGGCGUAAAGCGCGCGUAGGCGGCCAGAUAAGUCCGGUGUGAAAGUCACAGGCUCAACCUGUGAAUGCCGCUGGAAACUGUCUGGCUAGAGUCCGGAAGGGGCGAGUGGAAUUCCGAGUGUAGAGGUGAAAUUCGUAGAUAUUCGGAAGAACACCAGUGGCGAAGGCGGCUCACUGGCCCGGUACUGACGCUGAGGUGCGAAAGCGUGGGGAGCAAACAGG
rnacentral:rRNA from 1 species